rnacentral:rRNA from 1 species
GACGAACGCUGGCGGCGUGCCUAAUACAUGCAGGUCGAGCGGACAGAUGGGAGCUUGCUCCCUGAAGUCAGCGGCGGACGGGUGAGUAACACGUGGGCAACCUGCCUGUAAGACUGGGAUAACUUCGGGAAACCGGAGCUAAUACCGGAUACGUUCUUUUCUCGCAUGAGAGAAGAUGGAAAGAUGGUUUCGGCUAUCACUUACAGAUGGGCCCGCGGCGCAUUAGCUAGUUGGUGAGGUAAUGGCUCACCAAGGCGACGAUGCGUAGCCGACCUGAGAGGGUGAUCGGCCACACUGGGACUGAGACACGGCCCAGACUCCUACGGGAGGCAGCAGUAGGGAAUCUUCCGCAAUGGACGAAAGUCUGACGGAGCAACGCCGCGUGAACGAUGAAGGCCUUCGGGUCGUAAAGUUCUGUUGUCAGGGAAGAACAAGUACCAGAGUAACUGCUGGUACCUUGACGGUACCUAACCAGAAAGCCACGGCUAACUACGUGCCAGCAGCCGCGGUAAGAC